rnacentral:rRNA from 1 species
GACGAACCGUGCGACCGUUGUUCGGAAUCACUGGGCUUAAAGGGCGCGUAGGCGGCCAACUAAGUCGGACGUGAAAUCCCCGGGCUCAACCCGGGAACUGCGUCCGAUACUGGAUGGCUUGAAUCCGGGAGAGGGAUGUGGAAUUCCAGGUGUAGCGGUGAAAUGCGUAGAUAUCUGGAGGAACACCGGUGGCGAAGGCGGCAUCCUGGACCGGUAUUGACGCUGAGGCGCGAAAGCCAGGGGAGCAAACGGG